AUAAAUAUGGCGAAAUAGGUAAACGCACUAAAUUUAGGAUUUAGUUUUUUAAGAGUUCGAUUCUCUUUAUUUAUA
rnacentral:tRNA from 1 species